GCCGGGGACGGGGCCGGGGCCUGCGCGGCGACGGGGGAGCGGCGCCCCAGAGCCGCGCCGCGCCGCUUCCUGCCGCUAUAAAUAGCCGCCCGGCCCAACAUGUCCCGGCCGCCGCAGCGGCUGGAGCGCCGGCGGGAGCUGCCGUCCCCUCCCGCCGCGUAGCUCGCCCGGAGCGCGACUGCUCUGUCUCGGGCCGGGACGUGCUCCUCCUGCCUUCCGAAGCCGUCCUCGUGGGGCUGGGAUCCCUCCCUGCUUCCCCCUCGCUUUCCCGCUUUCCCCGGGGUUGGGCGCGUGCCCGGGACGGAGGAUGGUGUUGGCCUCCGGACGCAGCCCCCGGUCCCUCUUGGCGGCUCAGACCGAGCCCCUGCCCGGACCUCCAGGGAGGUGGCUGGUGGCACCCGUGUCCAUCCCUGCUGUGGCACGGCCAAGGCUGUGAAAUCCCGGCCGGUGUGGCAGGGUGGGGAGAGCCGCACCGGGGCCACGCGUGUGGCACCCAAGCGGGGUGCCGCUGUGGGCACUCGUUCAUGCGGGUGUCUGUGUUGCAGCCUUCCUCCCUCAAGUGCUUUCGUCGGCAGCAAAUGUCGAGGAAUGUGCAACCUGGGAAAUGUUAUUGCAAUCUAAUUAACUUCAGCAAGUGUAUUCUGGACUGA
rnacentral:lncRNA from 1 species